rnacentral:rRNA from 1 species
CGUAGCAGAUAGCUCAGUAACACGUGGCCAAACUGCCCUAUAGACGGCGAUAACCUCGGGAAACUGAGGCUAAUAGCCGAUACCGUUCACUACCUGGAGUGGUGUGAACGCGAAACGUUCAGGCGCUAUAGGAUGUGGCUGCGGCCGAUUAGGUAGACGGUGGGGUAACGGCCCACCGUGCCUAUAAUCGGUACGGGUUGUGAGAGCAAGAGCCCGGAGACGGUAUCUGAGACAAGAUACCGGGCCCUACGGGGCGCAGCAGGCGCGAAACCUUUACACUGCACGCGAGUGCGAUAAGGGGACUCCGAGUGCGAGGGCAUAUAGUCCUCGCUUUUCACCACCGUAAGGUGGUGGUGGAAUAAGUGCUGGGCAAGACCGGUGCCAGCCGCCGCGGUAAUACCGGCAGCACGAGUGAUGACCGCUAUUAUUGGGCCUAAAGCGUCCGUAGCUGGCCAUACAAGUCUAUCGGGAAAUCUGCGCGCUUAACGCGCAGGCGUCCGGUGGAAACUGUGUGGCUUGGGACCGGAAGACCAGAGGGGUACGUCCGGGGUAGGAGUGAAAUCCCGUAAUCCUGGACGGACCACCGGUGGCGAAAGCGCCUCUGGAAGACGGAUCCGACGGUGAGGGACGAAAGCUCGGGUCACGAACCGGAUUAGAUACC